rnacentral:ncRNA from 2 species
GAUUUAUAAAGAAGAGGUAAGAGAACAGGCUCAAUGACCCUCUGGCAACCAUCCAAUCCACCGGAAAGGUGCCAAAACCUGCUCGUCUCGACGAGAGCUAUAAAUU